CACUCCUACGGGAGGCAGCAGUGGGGAAUUUUGGACAAUGGGCGAAAGCCUGAUCCAGCAAUGCCGCGUGAGUGAAGAAGGCCUUCGGGUUGUAAAGCUCUUUUGUCAGGGAAGAAACGGUGAAAGAUAAUAUCUUUUGCUAAUGACGGUACCUGAAGCAUAAGCACCGGCUAACUACGUGCCAGCAGCCGCGGUAAUACGUAGGGUGCAAGCGUUAAUCGGAAUUACUGGGCGUAAAGCGUGCGCAGGCGGUUUUGUAAGUCUGAUGUGAAAUCCCCGGGCUCAACCUGGGAAUUGCAUUGGAGACUGCAAGGCUAGAAUCUGGCAGAGGGGGGUAGAAUUCCACGUGUAGCAGUGAAAUGCGUAGAUAUGUGGAGGAACACCGAUGGCGAAGGCAGCCCCCUGGGUCAAGAUUGACGCUCAUGCACGAAAGCGUGGGGAGCAAACAGGAUUAGAUACCCCAGUAGUCCCA
rnacentral:rRNA from 1 species